GGCCUCCUGGUGCUCACCACAGGCUGUGUUCUUUCACUUAAUAUAUAAAGAAAAGGGAAAGUAAACCUACCCCAUAUACACCUCAACCCAUGCCCUAUGCCUGGUCUGUAUUGACAGUGGGAAGACAUGG
rnacentral:snoRNA from 1 species